rnacentral:lncRNA from 1 species
UCAGGUUCUGCAGGAUUUACCCGGAUUCCGUGGUGUGCCUGAACCCCUGGAUGUGUUCAUCCAAACGGAAGAACAGAGGGAAUAAAUCUGGAGUGUCCUCUAGUCUGGCUCUACUGAGUCAUCACUUAAUGACAUAUUUAAUCACAUAAAUGUUUUCCCUAGUCCUGCACAUGUCUGCUUGACAGCCCUGCCUCAAAGAGCCCUGGAGUUUUCCAGCCAGCUGGGCUCGGAGCAAGGACAGUGGAUACUUGACAGUGCACAUUGAGAGUGGCCUUCCCAGCCUCUUCAGUCAGUCCCAAACAAGAUUUGAAUACAAGCUGCUGUGGUUUUAAUUAGGUAAGCAGGGUCUGGGUAGCUUGCACGUGAUACCCAUAUAAAACAUCUUAUUUUCUCAUUCUCAGCAGUGAUUCCAACAAAGCUGCUUUGCUGCGGGAGAAAAGGGAAAUUCUCCAUGUCACCACAGCAUCCCAGGAUCCAGAAAUGAGGGGGAACCUAUUGCAAUACCAGCUCAGAUGUUUUUGGACUGAAGUUCAGCAGAAUGGUAGAAAAAAAAAAAGGAUUCCCAUAGGAUUUCCUGGGAAAAAAAUUAUGCAGCACAUGAAUAUCCCAGGCUUGUCAGACUGCUGAAAAUGCUCUGUGUGGAUGGGCUGAGCACACAGAACAUCUGUGGCUGGGGCAGGCUGAAAUCCCAGGCAAGUGUCUGACAUCCCAAACACACGGAGCC